UACGUAGGUGGCGAGCGUUGUCCGGAUUUACUGGGCGUAAAGAGCGCGCAGGCGGCUGGUCAAGUCCGAUGUGAAAGCUCCCGGCUUAACUGGGAAAUUGCAUCGGAAACUGAUCGGCUGGAAGGUGGGAGAGGGUAGCGGAAUUCCCGGUGUAGUGGAGAAAUGCGUAGAUAUCGGGAGGAACACCAGUGGCGAAGGCAGCUCGCUGGGACGGUACUGACGCUGAGACGCGAAAGCGUGGGGAGCAAACAGG
rnacentral:rRNA from 1 species